rnacentral:lncRNA from 1 species
AUCAAGUUAUGAAGGUCCCUGAGGAUGCAAUGCACACAGGUGCCCCCUUUACAAAACUGGAGUGGGUGGGGCGGGGAGGAGGAGCUCUGUCCUCCCAACCAACCUCUCCCUGCUGCGUCUUCCUGCCAGUAGAACUUUCCUUCCAAGAGCCCACGACCGUCCUGGAGCCCCCCGGCCUUCCUUGGGUGUUAUCAUUCUAAUGGGCUGAGAAACCAGUGAGCUGAGGCUCUUAGUGUCCUGGGUAGCGGGUCCCAUGAAGACUGAGGACUUGCCUGUGAAUUUCUCUACAUGCUUUUCAACACCUUCCAUCCACAGAGAAGCCAACCUACUCAAAUCAGAACUUGUCCUCAUUGAGGUCUGAGGAAGAGCUACACUGGUUGAUUAUUGCACGAAUGAAAGGCACUCUGACCUUGUCGACCGAACGCCUUGCAGCUUUCAAUGUUGCCCAUUAUACCGCAAGCAGGCAACUCCUGGAGAGCUGCUCCCUGGGCAACCUGCCAGAAAAGGCUCCGGCGGCAGCAGUUCAGACGCGGCCAAACAGCUCAGGCAGCAAAGGAAACAGCUUCCCCAGAGGAAUCCUGCCCAGCAGCCUGAAAGCAGGACCAGCGCCAUUCUUCAGCUUCAACCUCAUGUGCCUGCCUGGAGGUGUCUUUAAAAGGAUGGAGAAAGGCUUCUGGAAAAGGUAUUUCAUUUUCUAGAGGCUGAAAAAAAAGUGGGUCAGAGGUUUUUUCCAAAUUUAGGGCAAACCUAGUUCUUGGUUAAGUACUUUAAGAGACAUUGCUCUAUUUAUUUAUUUAUUUCAUUUUUU